AAAAUAUGGGAAAUUUGUUCCUGAAGAAACCUCAGAUCACGGAGGUUGAUCGAGUGAUUCUCUCUCUCAAAACCCAAAGACGCAAGCUUGGUCAAUAUCAGCAAAAGCUUGAGAAAGUAAUUGAAGCCGAAAAGCAAGCUGCAAGAGACUUAA